rnacentral:rRNA from 1 species
UAGGGAAUCUUCCACAAUGGACGCAAGUCUGAUGGAGCAACGCCGCGUGAGUGAAGAAGGUUUUCGGACCGUAAAGCUCUGUUGUUGGUGAAGAAGGAUAGAGGUAGUAACUGGCCUUUAUUUGACGGUAAUCAACCAGAAAGUCACGGCUAACUACGUGCCAGCAGCCGCGGUAAUACGUAGGCGGCAAGCGUUGUCCGGAUUUAUUGGGCGUAAAGCGAGCGCAGGCGGAAGAAUAAGUCUGAUGUGAAAGCCCUCGGCUUAACCGAGGAAUUGCAUCGGAAACUGUUUUCUUGAGUGCAGAAGAGGAGAGUAGAACUCCAUGUGUAGCGGUGGAAUGCGUAGAUAUAUGGAAGAAUACCAGUGGCGAAGGCGGCUCUCUGGUCUGCAACUGACGCUGAGGCUCGAAAGCAUGGGUAGCGAACAGGAUUAGAUACCCUGGUAGUCCAUGCCGUAAACGAUGAGUGCUAAGUGUUGGGAGGCUUCCGCCUCUCAGUGCUGCAGCUAACGCAUUAAGCACUCCGCCUGGGGAGUACGACCGCAAGGUUGAA